AAUGCCGCGUGAGUGAAGAAGGCCUUCGGGUUGUAAAGCUCUUUUGUCAGGGAAGAAAAGGGUGCGGCUAAUAUCUGCGCCUCAUGACGGUACCUGAAGAAUAAGCACCGGCUAACUACGUGCCAGCAGCCGCGGUAAUACGUAGGGUGCAAGCGUUAAUCGGAAUUACUGGGCGUAAAGCGUGCGCAGGCGGUUUUGUAAGACUGUCGUGAAAUCCCCGGGCUCAACCUGGGAAUGGCGAUGGUGACUGCAAGGCUAGAGUUUGGCAGAGGGGGGUAGAAUUCCACGUGUAGCAGUGAAAUGCGUAGAUAUGUGGAGGAACACCGAUGGCGAAGGCAGCCCCCUGGGUCAAAACUGACGCUCAUGCACGAAAGCGUGGGGAGCAAACAGGAUUAGAUACCCUGGUAGUCCACGCCCUAAACGAUGUCUACUAGUUGUCGGGUCUUAAUUGACUUGGUAACGCAGCUAACGCGUGAAGUAGACCGCCUGGGGAGUACGGUCGCAAGAUUAAAACUCAAAGGAAUUGACGGGGACCCGCACAAGCGGUGGAUGAUGUGGAUUAAUUCGAUGCAACGCGAAAAACCUUACCUACCCUUGACAUGGAUGGAAUCUUUGAGAGAUU
rnacentral:rRNA from 1 species